rnacentral:rRNA from 1 species
CCUACGGGAGGCAGCAGUGAGGAAUAUUGGUCAAUGGACGCAAGUCUGAACCAGCCAUGCCGCGUGCAGGAAGACGGCUCUAUGAGUUGUAAACUGCUUUUGUACGAGGGUAAAUCCCGAUACGUGUAUCGGGUUGAAAGUAUCGUACGAAUAAGGAUCGGCUAACUCCGUGCCAGCAGCCGCGGUAAUACGGAGGAUUCAAGCGUUAUCCGGAUUUAUUGGGUUUAAAGGGUGCGUAGGCGGUUCGAUAAGUUAGAGGUGAAAUCCCGGGGCUCAACUCCGGCACUGCCUCUGAUACUGUCGGGCUAGAGUUUAGUUGCGGUAGGCGGAAUGUAUGGUGUAGCGGUGAAAUGCAUAGAUAUCGCGCAGAACUCCGAUUGCGAAGGCAGCAUGCCGGCUCCACACUGACGCUGAGGCACGAAAGCGUGGGUAUCGAACAGGAUUAGAUACCCUUGUAGUC